AAAUAACCCUCCCCAGGAACACUUAAAAACACAUUGCAAUGAUUUUGGAGGAAGCAGUUUGAUCAAAUAAGAUCUAUGCCUAACCUCCCCUUCAUAGUGACUUGUUCCUGGAGCUGCAAGAUGGUCCCACAGCUGUUUCUGCUGCAGGGCCAUGCCUGGUGCCACACGUCCUGCACGUCUGCCUGGGGAGAGGGAAGACAAAUGUUCUAGCUCAGAACUCACUUCUGCAGGGUCUCUAACUUGUUUUGCAGCAGUAACAUGCUGUGCAAGUCUUAGAGCAACCCCUAAACUUCAUUGUGAGUCUGGUUCAGAGCAAACCCUCCAAAAUUUUUAUACCUACUCAUCUGUUAACCCAGAAGUGACAUUCCACUCACAGCACCAAAUUCACUCAGAUACUCCAAAACUGACACUUUGGGUUCAUGGCAACCUGAGUUGCUAACACGGGUUGAAAGGUAGCAAGUCAGGAUAGGCCAGCACAAAUCCCGCCAGACAUAGAUAGAAACACAAAAGGUGAGGGAGUGGUACAAGCACUGAACUUUCUCCCUCCUGCUUGAAAAUGCUCCAACUAGCCCAUCCCAGGCUUCAUCGACAGGUAAAGACUGAUAGUCGGUAGUCACUGUGUGUGAUUAGGUCAUGAGUGUAAGAUCUGCUACAAGGCUGGAGGCAGGGAAGAUGUACCAGGACAGUUCUGUCUCUUUUCUGUGCCUGAAACCCUGCAGUGCUCUACAGAGAAAUGAGAAGCGAAAGGUUAUAUUGAUAAACUUAAUCAUCUGAAUCUGUUUUUCAUGUGCCCUUGAUACUGUAAAACCAAAGCACCGCACCCCUGCCAGGCAUUAAAAUGCCAGAUUUGAGGGUCAUUAAAAGCAGCAGCACGCUUAAUCAGGAGCCCUUACAGAGCAGCACAAAGCUGCUCCUCCCUUUCUAUACAUGAUUUAUUUUUUAAUAAGGAUGACCAAGAUGGCAGCCCGUGCAAUGCUCUGUGCUGUGCAAGCUGCUCGGCAGCAGGUUGUGAUGAUUUGCAAACUCUCUCUGCAGCGUUAAUGUCUAUUUGAACAACUUGGAGGAAGCAGUGCCUUCUUAUUGCUUUAAAUGCUUUCCCCAAUUAUAUGGGACUUUUGCAUUCUUGGUUAAGAAGGGUGUUGCAGGACUCAUUAUGUAGAUAUGAAUUUUUAAGUGGUGUAUCUUUAUUACCUUCUGGUUUCCUCCACAGACUCCCAAGUACCCAAGGUACAAAAGCUCAUUCCCUGGGUCUUUGCGUUGCUGUCUGGCCAUCACCAGAAGGUGCUAACUAGCCAUUUUGGUAGGCCUGGACUAUUAGCUUCAUUCUCAAAUAUCAAGGAGAUUGGGUGUGGGACCAGAUAAAUCUUCAGCUGAGUUCUUAGGAAAAAAAAAAUGCAAUGCAUUGGAAGCAGCAGAAAGUUGAGCCAUUGUCCCAGCUCAGUGUAGCACCAGGAGACCCCUGGGGUGGGAUUCAACUCCCAGGUAAAGUCUGGAGCCUUCUGGACAGGUGCUUUGGACCUCACAGUGUCGAUGUAUUCAGAGAGACUUGGUAGUUAGCCCCACAUGCCAGCUAUCCACAUGUUUUAUACAGGAAAAGAUGGCUUAAUGUGUUCCCACCUGGGGGAAAAAAAAAAAAAAGCCAAGUAACCAACCUACCCUGUGUGACCUGGCAGUGGCUCUUCACCCUCUCAGACAAGACUCACCAUCCCCAUCCUCACCACCACAGCCUCCUUCCUUAGGGGCUGUCCCCUCUCCUGCUCUGCCAUCUCCAUGUGGAGCAUUCGGCAGUCAGAUGGGGCUGCAGCCAGCAGAGCCCCAGUGGAGGGGGACUGGUGGUUGGCAGCACACAGCCCUCAUAAGGGUGUACACCCAAACUAUUUCUUCCUGCAGCAGAAAUUUUGCAUUUAGACCAAGCAGCUCAGGGCAUAGACCUGUCACAGGUCAGGCUGGGAUAUGGCUAGCGUGUACCAGAGGAUUGCAGAUCCUCUGGCUUCCCACUUCUUUUCCUUCGGGAGACAAGGCUAUUAUGCUAACCUUUAUGGAAAGGUGAGGUUUUAAAGUAGGAGAGGACAACCACAGGGAAGGCAGGCAACAAUGUGUGAACAACACAUGAGUGAGGAAGGCACCCGCUGUCCUGAAGCAUUUUCAAAUGUUAAGAAAAUGUAAUUGGGGGCAUAAGUUGAAAGAGUGCACAGGGAGCUUUUAAAGUGGAGGGCUGGUGCUUACAUGAAGGAUUGCCUUUUUGUCUCUCUGAUCUUGGUAGCCUCCAGGAGUUGUCGUAUUCAAAUGGCUGAAGGAUUAGGAAAAGAAGUUCCAUGCGGUGGACAAAAUAAGGAUCACAUUUACCCUUUCCUUUCAAGUCCUCAUCUGUCAUUCCAAGUCUUUGCUAAAUAAACAAAUCCUCACAAUGUGAGCUACCA
rnacentral:lncRNA from 1 species